GAACUGUGCUAUUGUUGAGGAACCCCUUACAAAGACUGUAGAGUAUUUUGUGACUGUCCUGUGGACCACUGAAAGAGACUUGGAGAGGGAUGGUUUGGUGCUUCAACAGAAAUUGCAAGAGGUUAUCCGGAAGGCUGUAUUGUAUUGCACAGUGGAAAAGGCACCAUUUUCUCAAUGGAGGACCAACCACUCAGGCUCUACUUCCAGCUGUUUGACCUUGGGCUAGACUCAUGUUUUCAAUUUACUCAUGUAAAAAAUGAAGAUCAUAAUAUGUGUUUUCUGCCUUGCAUGGUUCAUGUGAUGGUCAAAUGAGAUCAUAUAUGUGAAAAUAAAUUGUCAUUUUCAUGAUA